CAGCACCUCAAGUGGUCAGGAUGAUUAUUGGGCCUAAAGCAUCCGUAGCCGGCGCUGUAAGUUUUCGGUUAAAUCUGUGCGCUCAACGUACAGGCUGCCGGGAAUACUGCAGCGCUAGGGAGUGGGAGAGGUAGACGGUACUCGGUAGGAAGGGGUAAAAUCCUUUGAUCUAUUGAUGACCACCUGUGGCGAAGGCGGUCUACCAGAACACGUCCGACGGUGAGGGAUGAAAGCUGGGGGAGCAAACCGGAUUAGAUACCCGAGUAGUCC
rnacentral:rRNA from 1 species